rnacentral:sRNA from 1 species
UUCAUUUAUUAAUUUUAACUCAUUUAAUAUUAAUUUGCAUGAUGUAAAAUUAACUUAGGAGAUUACGGCAUAUAUAAAAAAUAUAUUUU